rnacentral:ncRNA from 2 species
AAGCGUUCUCAGGGCAGGGUGCAACUCCCUACCGGCGGUGAUGGCGGGCCUGCGGGCCGGCACGAGCCCGCGAGCGCCGGCCAACCGCGGCACCCUUUCCUGCAAGGGCGCCGCGGGUGGCCGGGUCAGCAGACCCGGUGCGAUCCCGGGGCCGACGGUGACAGUCCGGAUGAAAGAGAACGCGC